GCCCCUGACUUCGGGAUAACUCCGGGAAACCGGGGCUAAUACCGGAUAUGAGCCGUCCUCGCAUGGGGGUGGUUGGAAAGUUUUUCGGUCAGGGAUGGGCUCGCGGCCUAUCAGCUUGUUGGUGGGGUGAUGGCCUACCAAGGCGACGACGGGUAGCCGGCCUGAGAGGGCGACCGGCCACACUGGGACUGAGACACGGCCCAGACUCCUACGGGAGGCAGCAGUGGGGAAUAUUGCACAAUGGGCGAAAGCCUGAUGCAGCGACGCCGCGUGAGGGAUGACGGCCUUCGGGUUGUAAACCUCUUUCAGCAGGGAAGAAGCGCAAGUGACGGUACCUGCAGAAGAAGCGCCGGCUAACUACGUGCCAGCAGCCGCGGUAAUACGUAGGGCGCAAGCGUUGUCCGGAAUUAUUGGGCGUAAAGAGCUCGUAGGCGGUUUGUCGCGUCUGGUGUGAAAACUCGAGGCUCAACCUCGAGCUUGCAUCGGGUACGGGCAGACUAGAGUGCGGUAGGGGAGACUGGAAUUCCUGGUGUAGCGGUGGAAUGCGCAGAUAUCAGGAGGAACACCGAUGGCGAAGGCAGGUCUCUGGGCCGCAACUGACGCUGAGGAGCGAAAGCAUGGGGAGCGAACAGGAUUAGAUACCCUGGUAGUCCAUGCCGUAAACGUUGGGCACUAGGUGUGGGGCUCAUUCCACGAGUUCCGUGCCGCAGCAAACGCAUUAAGUGCCCCGCCUGGGGAGUACGGCCGCAAGGCUAAAACUCAAAGGAAUUGACGGGGGCCCGCACAAGCGGCGGAGCAUGCGGAUUAAUUCGAUGCAACGCGAAGAACCUUACCAAGGCUUGACAUGCACGGGAAGCCACCAGAGAUGGUGGUCUCUUUGGACACUCGUGCACAGGUGGUGCAUGGUUGUCGUCAGCUCGUGUCGUGAGAUGUUGGGUUAAGUCCCGCAACGAGCGCAACCCUCGUCCCAUGUUGCCAGCGGGUUAUGCCGGGGACUCAUGGGAGACUGCCGGGGUCAACUCGGAGGAAGGUGGGGAUGACGUCAAAUCAUCAUGCCCCUUAUGUCUKGGGCUUCACGCAUGCUACAAUGGCCGGUACAAAGGGCUGCGAUACCGUAAGGUGGAGCGAAUCCCAAAAAGCCGGUCUCAGUUCGGAUUGGGGUCUGCAACUCGACCCCAUGAAGUCGGAGUCGCUAGUAAUCGCAGAUCAGCAACGCUGCGGUGAAUACGUUCCCGGGCCUUGUACAC
rnacentral:rRNA from 1 species